CCAGGGUUUUUGCAAUUAGGCAUAGUGAUUGAAUUAGUUAACUUUGGAGAGAUGUGUUGGAGUCACCUAGACUUGUGAUCCGAAGCCUCCGUCUCUGGGAUGCCACAGUCUGACACGGGUUUGUAACCAGGAAGCAACUGUGUGCAGAGAGAGAGAGAGAGGGGUAGGUGAGGGCAUGAAUGCAUUGCAUAUGCUUUCUCUUCCCCUAUCUACAGGUACUUGAGCCCUGAUUUUUCAGCAUCACCGUGAGUAUUGUGACCAUAACGCCAGCACAAGGGAAAUGAAAAUGGGUCUUAAUAAUAUCAUUUGGGUCUGGAAUCUAGUUGUGCCCCAAAGCCAGCGUCUAUCCUGGGCAUUUCUGAAAAAGAGGCUUCUCUCUAUUUCUCUCUUUCUUUUUUGAUUUAAGUCAGUUCGAGUUGAGGUUUUAGUCCCAUGCAAGAGAAGGAGUUGUAAUUGACACAGGAGCUUUGCACUGCCAGUAAAUUGCUUUGUUUUGCAGAAUGCAAAGCCAAGCUUCAAGAAGAGAGAAAAGAAGUGCUGGAUGGCUCCUUUUUGAUUCUAGUUUCUUAUUUAUUUCUUGUUUUGUUGUUUUUGUAAGGAACAUAUAAGAAACUCUCCAACUGAAUGCCACAUGGUGCCUAGAUUCUGAUCCUUCUGCAGCAAAAACGUUUUUCUGUUCUCUGGAUCAUUCCUGGGUACUGUAGUUCUAGAAAUGAAGACAUGGAGAGGGCUGGCUGGAGUCAAAUUAAAAAAAAAAAAAAAGCAACCUGAAGGGGGUAGAAAUGAUCAAAGCAAAGAAAAAAGAGUGAAAUAUCCUAAUCUGAAGAUGAUUUCGUUUUCCAAAAGCUCCUAGCAAAUUGAGAAGGCAGCCGAAGGAAAGGCUUGUUUGGGAAGGUAUGCAUCAAAUAAAAGCAACAGCCAUGAAAACAGAAGGUCUGUCUUCUAAAAUGGAUUCCUGGCAGUGAAACUCACUGGCUAUAGCCAGCCCAGACUGAACUCCUUUCUUCAUCCUUGAAUGAAUCACUAUGGUCCCAGGGAUGUGAUGCUGUGCUUGGUCAGACUUGAGUCACCUGUCCACUUCUGGAUCUAUGGAGAUGAUGGACAUCACCCUGCUGAGAUUGUGGAAAGAGCAGUACGGGGAAAAUCAGGAUGGAAAAGAGGAAUGAAUGGAAGUCAGGCAGGAAAUGUGUCUCUUUCUGAGAAGAUGGAUGCUCCCCCCAAAAAUAAAGCAUGUGGAAGGUAAAUCGGUGUUUUUGGAUGGAUGCCUUGUUGGAAGAAGACAAGAGGGUGGUCAUGCCAUUCUUACCUGACUUUCCCUUCUUCCGCUUGAUAGUCCGCCUUCAGAAGCAGGUGGAGUCCAAUUCUCAAUCAAUGGAAGGGCCCUUACAGAGCUCCACCUGUAUUAGCAGAACAUGGACUGCCUGAUGCCUUUUAAAGAUAAGCUUCCUGCUGCCGCUUUGCAACGGUUUACAAGCUGCAACCCUUAUGAAAUGUACUUCCACAAGCACGUCCCAAGGUCUUGUUCAAGAAAAUGGCAGCGGUGUUUCAUGAAAUACAGAUGACCUCAUAGGAUUGUUGUAAGAUUUAAGAGUUUAAAAUGAAUGCUUCCCGUCAUGUCUGGCCCAGACGUGCCCUUCCUUCCUUUGCGUCCCGGAUGAUUCUCUGCCACCAUCCAAGAUUCUCAGGCAAAGCGGAGUGGCUCUUCCUCAUGCACCCAGAGCAUUCCCUGCCUUUCUGAAUAACAGCCCAUGGUGAUUAUGCAGCUGCUUCUGUACUAGACUGUGAGUAUGCUCAUGUGGGGAAGCAAGUCUUAUUCAACUUUGUACCCUAUGGCACCUGCCACGGUGGCCAGCACAGAGUAGACCU